CCUUUGACGUUACAGGUUCAACUAAUAAGAGUGAAACAACUUGUCAUGUUGUAAAGUAUCAGUCAGCCCAUUUUCAAUAAAUAUACAAUAUCAUUCCAACACCAUAACUCACAGGUUUCAUAGCACAUGUAAUUGCUUAUUCAAUGGAGGAUUACAACUAGAAACACAAAUUAAUCACCCCCUCAAUAAUAUCGGUGUAGCAAACCCAUUGUCACGAAUCCUCCACCAGGAGUUGCAGCAUCAUGGAGAGAAGAACAAACUUGCAGAAUAAACUGUUGAAAUGCCAACCAAUUAAUCCUCAACAUUUUGCUUACAAUAUUGAUCAAAAAUAGGAAUAAGACUAUCACAAAGAAAAUUUCUCCACAUUCCCUUAACUGAACUUCACAUUAUUAUUCAAUCUCAAUUGACAAUGAUCUCAUACAGAAAAUUCCCUUAACACGACUAUACGUUGGAAACAAAAUUUAACAAUCGUCAUAUAAUUGGUUUUAAGGGACAUUUCACAGCAAAGUAUGAAAAUUUGCAUGCGUUUCUAGUCCAAAAGUUAAUUCACAACCAUGCAAAAUUAUACUAACAAACUUUAAAAUACACUGUUCUCCUAAUAGAAUAAAACUACUUACUGCACUAUCGCCGAGAUUUUAAAUCCAAAAGAACUUCGCUUUGUAGUGCCACUCAUUAUAUAAGCUCUCCUGAUCUAAGCACUAUCGACGACAGUGCCAUAGCGUGGUAGAAAAGUACAGCACAGCUUGUUUUCGCCACCUGUCGGGCAUUUAAAAAUAGCUUAUAUUAGGGAGCCUAAAUUUUCAGAUGUCCAUUUGAUUCUGGACCACCACUGAAAUAACAUGAUGUCUGGACUGACUUUUAAAUAGAGCUUAUUUUGCUGACUGUGUUUCUGUCCAUGGAGCUGCAUUACAUGGUGGCUGCUUCAUGUUUAAGAAAUAUUUCUUGAAAAUCUUUAGAGGUUGCCAGAAGGUUUCUGAAGCAUCUCUUUUACAUUCUGGAAAACCUGGGAAGGUAUAUUUGUGAAAGAAUCUCUGAUUUCAUAUAUGGAUAUUUCAGCUCCUUUUUCUCGGGUUGGAAUGCCGUAUGUCCGUAAGAUGUUUGCCGGACCCGAUUGCACAAUGUUACGGCAUGUUUACACUGAAACGAGAAAUUUGCGUUUAUGCUGAGUUUAUUUUUGAAGGUUGUUCCUGGUUUAUUUAAAGCCACUAUGACCCGAAAACAUUGCGUUGCGAUUUUUGUUAUUAUAAAAAUGCAAUUUAAUAUCUUGUUAGGUGGUUCGGUAGAGCGAGGGAGCGUCCCUGUUUGAAUAUGUUCUUGUAUAAUUAACGAGGAAUUUUGGGUAAUAUAUUAUUGAAGUUCUUCGUUGACGAAACUAUUCCAUAUGACGAAAUACACGAAGCGAAACGAAUGGUGACGAUGAAAUAGUGGGGUAGAAAUUGAUAACAUAUAUGAUCAUUUUGUCGACAGUGGUGGUUUGUACUCCUUAUCCUAUAGAAGCUUCUUGGAUCAAAUACCAACAUUGACAAGAUUGAAUCCUGCAGUGAAAGUUGAAAAACGUGAUUAUAUGAUGUUAUUCGGAGCGGAAUCGGAAUUGUUCUACAGAUUUUUAUACAAGUUUUAAUAUUUAUGUAUGUUUGUUUAUGUGCUUAUGCUUAUCCUUAUCCUUGUCCUAGUGUAAUAAUUUGUGCAGAGUUUGAUUGGGGUUAUAUGUAGU